rnacentral:rRNA from 1 species
CCUACGGGUGGCAGCAGUGGGGGAUAUUGCACAAUGGGGGGAACCCUGAUGCAGCGACGCCGCGUGGGUGAAGGAGCGUUUCGGCGCGUAAAGCCCUAUCGGCAGGGAAGAAAGAAACGACGGUACCUGAAUAAGAAGCCCCGGCUAACUACGUGCCAGCAGCCGCGGUAAUACGUAGGGGGCAAGCGUUAUCCGGAUUUACGGGGUGUAAAGGGGGCGUAGACGGCGAUGCAAGUCUGAAGUGAAAGCCGGGGGCCCAACCCCCGGACUGCUUUGGAAACUGUAUGGCUGGAGUGCAGGAGAGGUAAGUGGAAUGCCUAGUGUAGCGGUGAAAUGCGUAGAUAUUAGGAGGAACACCAGUGGCGAAGGCGGCUUACUGGACUGUAACUGACGUUGAGGCUCGAAAGCGUGGGGAGCAAACAGGAUUAGAUACCCGUGUAGUC